CCGGCGACCGGCGCACGGGUGAGUAACACGUAUGCAACCUGGCCGUGACAGAUGGAUAACCGGGAGAAAUCCCGCCUAAUACAACAUAAUGCCGGAGGGACAUCCCCUGCCGGUCAAAGGGGGCGACCCCGGUCAUGGAUGGGCAUGCGGCGCAUUAGGUAGUUGGUGGGGCAACGGCCCACCAAGCCGACGAUGCGUAGGGGUUCUGAGAGGAAGGUCCCCCACAUUGGAACUGAGACACGGUCCAAACUCCUACGGAAGGCAGCAG
rnacentral:rRNA from 1 species